rnacentral:lncRNA from 1 species
CGGAUUGGACAUGACCACCAAAACUCCCUUUGACUGUAACAUAACAUGGUGCCCGGCCCUUCGGGCUCCUCAGGACUUCAUUAUACCCGGCCCUUCGGGCUCCUCAGGACUUCAUUAUACCCGGCCCUUCGGGCUCCUCAGGACUUCAUUAUGCCUGGCCCUCAAGGGGCUCCUCAGGACUUCAUUAACAUAAUCAUAGCUAGAGCUAUUGGGGUCGCCUUGGUCCAUCCACAUCAACAGUAAAUAAUGCAAUGCGUCAUAUUCGUGUGACUAAUGCAAUCAACCUAUUACAUAUAAACAUGAUGCAUGAACAUGCUUUAGGCAUUUGCUUUCAUAAAAUAAAAGAUUAAGUUUAGUUCUACUCACCUCUAGCAGACGCUAAACUGACUCUGCAACUGCUAACACUGAUGGCCUCCUCGGUCCCUCGGGUCCGAUCCUACACAGGUGGACUCGAAUGAGGUGCCAAACACACUCUAAACAACUCAUAAACAACUACCCAAAAACCCCCUAAAAC